AUUGAACGCUGGCGGCAGGCCUAACACAUGCAAGUCGAGCGAGCGUCGGACGGGGGAGAAAUAUAUGGGGAUCUGCCCGAUAGGGGGGGGGAACUACUGGGAACGGUGUCUAACAUCGCAUAUGGUCGGAGGAACCCACAUGGGAUUAGCUGGUGGGUAAGGUAAUGGCUCACCCAGGCGACGCUCCCUAGCUGGUCUGAGAGGAUGAUCAGCCACACUGGGACGGAGACACGGCCCAGACUCCUACGGGAGGCAGCAGUGGGGAAUAUUGCACAAUGGGCGCAAGCCUGAUGCAGCCAUGCCGCGUGUAUGAAGAAGGCCCUAGGGUUGUAAAGUACUUUCAGUCGGGAGGCGUUACCGACAGAAGAAGCACCGGCUAACUCCGUGCCAGCCGCCGCGGUAAUAC
rnacentral:rRNA from 1 species